rnacentral:rRNA from 1 species
UUCGCAAUGCCCGAAAGGGUGACGAAGCGACGCCGCGUGUGGGAAGAAGGCCUUCGGGUUGUAAACCACUGUCGGGAGUUAAGAAAUGUAGGGAUGCUAAUAGUAUUCUUACUUGACUAAGGCUCCGGAGGAAGCCACGGCUAACUCUGUGCCAGCAGCCGCGGUAAUACAGAGGCGGCAAGCGUUGUUCGGAAUUAUUGGGCGUAAAGAGCACGUAGGCGGCUGUGUAAGCCGGUUGUGAAAGCCUUCCGCUUAACGGAAGAACAGCGACCGAUACUGCAUAGCUAGAGUGCGGGAGGGGAGAGUGGAACUUCUGGUGGAGCGGUGAAAUGCGUAGAUAUCAGAAGGAACGCCGGCGGCGAAAGCGGCUCUCUGGACCGUAACUGACGCUGAGUGUGCGAAAGCUAGGGGAGCAAACGGGAUUAGAUACCCCGGUAGUCCUAGCCGUAAACGAUGGGCACUAAGUAGAGGGGUUUU